AUUUUGCAUGGGACUCAACAAUCAUGGUGUAUAGCCCAUAGUUAGGUCUAAACCCUGCUUUCUUCAUUUCAUCCCACAGCCUUAGAGCAGUCUCUAAUUUUCCAGCCUUCAGAAAAGACUCAAUCAAGGAUACGAACAUAGUAGCAGAUGGUCUGAGCCCGAAGCCCUCAAAAGACUCAAUCAAGGAAACGAACAUAGUAGCAGAUGGCCUGAGCCCGAAGCCCUGCAUUUCAGUAUAUACCUUCAUUGAUGUGUCCAACCUCCCAGCUUUACCCAUGGAAUCAACG
rnacentral:lncRNA from 1 species